rnacentral:rRNA from 1 species
GGAGGUAGUGACAAUAAAUCACAAUGCGGAACAUCUGUUUUGCAAUUGGAUUGAGAACAACGCACAACACUUAUCGAUAAACAAUUGGAGGGCAAGUCUGGUGCCAGCAGCCGCGGUAAUUCCAGCUCCAAUAGCGUAUAUUAACGUUGUUGCAGUUAAAAAGCUCGUAGUUGAAGUGAAGUGUGGAAGUUUUGCAUUUUCGUUUGAAUUUGCUUCUCUUCUAUACUCUUUCCAAAUAGUUUGCAUGGGUAUUCAUUUAUCUGUGUAUUGCAUUUGGUCAUUUACUGUGAGAAAAUUAGAGUGUUCAAAGCAUACGUUUGUUUGAAUACAUUAGCAUGGAAUAAUUCGAAAAGGCUUUCAUGUUCGAUUUGAUUGGUUUGUUCGUGAAGGCAAGAUUAAAAGGGACAGUUGGGGGUAUUCAUAUUCAAUAGUCAGAGGUGAAAUUCUCGGAUUUAUGGAAGAUGAACAAGUGCGAAAGCA